GCCGGUGUGGUGGAACUGGUAGACACGCAGGAUUUAGGUUCCUGUGUCGCAAGACGUGCAGGUUCGAGUCCUGUCACCGGCA
rnacentral:tRNA from 2 species